rnacentral:rRNA from 1 species
GACGAACGCUGGCGGCGUGCUUAACACAUGCAAGUCGAACGGAAAGGCCCUGCUUGCAGGGUACUCGAGUGGCGAACGGGUGAGUAACACGUGGGUGAUCUGCCCUGCACUUCGGGAUAAGCCUGGGAAACUGGGUCUAAUACCGGAUAGGAGCCAUUUUUAGUGUGAUGGUUGGAAAGUUUUUUCGGUGUAGGAUGAGCUCGCGGCCUAUCAGCUUGUUGGUGGGGUAAUGGCCUACCAAGGCGGCGACGGGUAGCCGGCCUGAGAGGGUGGACGGCCACAUUGGGACUGAGAUACGGCGCAGACUCCUACGGGAGGCAGCAGUGGGGAAUAUUGCACAAUGGGCGCAAGCCUGAUGCAGCGACGCCGCGUGGGGGAUGACGGCCUUCGGGUUGUAAACUCCUUUCGCUAGGGACGAAGCUUUUUGUGACGGUACCUAGAUAAGAAGCACCGGCUAACUACGUG